rnacentral:rRNA from 1 species
AUUGAACGCUGGCGGCAUGCCUUUCACAUGCAAGUCGAACGGUAACAGGUCUUCGGAUGCUGACGAGUGGCGAACGGGUGAGUAAUACAUCGGAACGUGCCUAGUAGUGGGGGAUAACUACUCGAAAGAGUGGCUAAUACCGCAUGAGAUCUACGGAUGAAAGCAGGGGAUCGCAAGACCUUGUGCUACUAGAGCGGCCGAUGGCAGAUUAGGUAGUUGGUGGGAUAAAAGCUUACCAAGCCGACGAUCUGUAGCUGGUCUGAGAGGACGAUCAGCCACACUGGGACUGAGACACGGCCCAGACUCCUACGGGAGGCAGCAGUGGGGAAUUUUGGACAAUGGGCGCAAGCCUGAUCCAGCAAUGCCGCGUGCAGGAUGAAGGCCUUCGGGUUGUAAACUGCUUUUGUACGGAACGAAAAGCCCUGGGUUAAUACCCUGGGGUCAUGACGGUUCCGUAAGAAUAAGCACCGGCUAACUACGUGCCAGCAGCCGCGGUAACAC